UGAAGCCUGGCUUGGAAAUUUUUGAGCAUUACUUUGCUAGCAUGUGAGAUGAAUGCAAUUGUGCAGUAUUUUGAGUAUUCUUUAGCAUUGCCCUUCUUUGUUACUGGAAUGAAAACUGAGCUUUUCCAGUCCUGUGGCCACUGCUGAAUUUUCCAUAUUUGCUGGCAUAUUGAGUUCAGUACUUUCACAGCAUCAUCUUUCAGGAUUUGAAAUAGCUCAACUGGAAUUCCAUCACCUCCACUAGCCUUGUUCGUAGUGAUGCUUCCUAAGGCCCACUUGACUUUGCAUUCCGGGAUGUCUGGCUCUAGGGGACUCACACAGGAACCGCCAUGGUUGAAGAAUUGUGAUUCUUUGCUGAUCCUGAAUAAACCCAUUUUUGCUGUCUACUGGUUUUAGGUCAACAGUAGGUAGAAUACUGGCCCCCCAAAAGAUGUCAACGCCUUAAUCUCCGAGCUUGUAAAUACGUUACUGUAUAUGGCAAAAGGAACCUGAAGAUGUAAAUAAGUAUUUUGAGAUGGGAAAAGGAUCCUAGAUUAUCCUGGUGGAUCCAAUGAAAUUACAAGUUCCUGAUAAGUGAAAGAGGAAGCAGGAGGGGCAGAGGAGGAGAUGUGAUGAUGGAAGCAGAGGUCUGAGUGAUUUGGGGCCACAAGGCAAGGAAUGUGGGUAGCCUCUAGGAUCUGGGAAAGGUUAGGAAAUGGAUUCUCCUCUGAGGCUGCAGAAGGAACCAGCCCUGUUAACAGUUUGAUUUUAGUUCAGUGAAAUCUACUUUGGAUUUCUAACCUUCAGCAUGGUAAAAUGAUAAAUUUUAGUAGUUUUGUUAGGGGAAGCACACUGAUUGAAACCGCCCACCCUGGCCAGGCACCACAGUAACCAUUUGCAUGAGUUGUUUUAUGACAGGAGAUCCUGAUAAGGAAUACGGAACUAUUAAGCUACCACCAACCAGAAGAGUUCGGGAAAGCUCAAAAGGAGACACCGUGAGUCCGUCCACUUCCCAGAAUCCCUCUCGCUAGCAUCCAUCUUGGCUGAGCGAUGCGUGCACCACCAGGAAAGACUCUGAAUUAGAAUGAUUGGCCAAAGACGACCCAGAAACUAAUCCCAUCACCGUAAAACCCAAGACUGCGAGCCACGCGGCAGAGCAGUUCUCCUGGGUUCCCUUACCUACUGCUCUCCACCCGGGUGCCCUUUCCCAAUAAAAUCUCUUGCUUUGUCA